GAAUGCUGACAUAAGUAACGAUAAAGCGGGUGAAAAGCCCGCUCGCCGGAAGACCAAGGGUUCCUGUCCAACGUUAAUCGGGGCAGGGUGAGUCGACCCCUAAGGCGAGGCCGAAAGGCGUAGUCGAUGGGAAACAGGUUAAUAUUCCUGUACUUGGUGUUACUGCGAAGGGGGGACGGAGAAGGCUAUGUUGGCCGGGCGACGGUUGUCCCGGUUUAAGCGUGUAGGCUGGUUUUCCAGGCAAAUCCGGAAAAUCAAGGCUGAGGCGUGAUGACGAGGCACUACGGUGCUGAAGCAACAAAUGCCCUGCUUCCAGGAAAAGCCUCUAAGCAUCAGGUAACAUCAAAUCGUACCCCAAACCGACACAGGUGGUCAGGUAGAGAAUACCAAGGCGCUUGAGAGAACUCGGGUGAAGGAACUAGGCAAAAUGGUGCCGUAACUUCGGGAGAAGGCACGCUGAUAUGUAGG
rnacentral:rRNA from 1 species